AUUCCCUAAAUAAUUAAAACCAAAAGAUGGCUGCUGUGUCACAUGUGUGUCAGCAGGUGGUAAAGAGGAGAGAGGUUAAGUCUAAACUCAGUUGUCAUUGACCUAUGAACAUCUGAAUGGUUAGGUAGCCUAACAGU